rnacentral:sRNA from 1 species
AUGGCUGUCGUCAGCUCGUGUCGUGAGAUGUUGGGUUAAGUCCCGCAACGAGCGCAACCCUCGUUCUAUGUUGCCAGCGGGUUAUGCCGGGGACUCAUAGGAGACUGCCGGGGUCAACUCGGAGGAAGGUGGGGAUGACGUCAAAUCAUCAUGCCCCUUAUGUCUUGGGCUUCACGCAUGCUACAAUGGCCAGUACAAAGGGCUGCGAUACCGCAAGGUGGAGCGAAUCCCAAAAAACUGGUCUCAGUUCGGAUUGGGGUCUGCAACUCGACCCCAUGAAGUCGGAGUCGCUAGUAAUCGCAGAUCAGCAACGCUGCGGUGAAUACGUUCCCGGGCCUUGUACACACCGCCCGUCACACCACGGGAGUGAGCAACACCCGAAGCCGGUGGCCCAACCCGCAAGGGAGGGAGCCGUCGAAGGUGGGGCUCGUGACUGGGGUGAAGUCGUAACAAGGUAGCCGUAGCGGAAGCUGCGGCUGGAUCACCUCCUUUCUAGGGAGCAUCUACGCGAUGCCCCGAUCCUGGGCCUAUCGAAAGAUAGGCCCGCGCGGUCGCCGCGCCCGCCUGUGCCCAGUAUGGGUACAGUGGCCGGCGAUGUCUAAGCGGAUCGGGCCUAGCAUGUCGACCGAGCCUGGCUGGAUGGCCCUGUGCCGCGCGUCUCCCUUACUACUUGGGGAGCUCAACCGGCCCUGGCCGCAACGACCCCAGCAUGCUGUUGAGUUUUGAGAGACCGGCGUUGGCCGGUCCCCGCGAGGACGCACCGCUCAUCGGUGUGAUCAAUCAGCGUGGCGGGCAGCCAACGUUAUACGCCUCUCCACGGUCCUUGAAAACUGCACAGAAGCCACAUCAGCCGCCAUCGAUAAGCGGCGGCUGAAAAACGGGUAUCACCGGGCCCUCCGUGACCGCAGUGCCCCGCAAGGGGUAUCGGGUCAUGUUGGGCCAGAUCACCGUCAAGAUAGUAAGGGCACACGGUGGAUGCCUUGGCACCAAGAGUCGAUGAAGGGCGUGAACGGCUGCGAUAAGCCACGGUUAGGCGCUUAAUAGCCUUUGACCCGUGGAUGCCCGAAUGGGGAAACCCGG